rnacentral:tRNA from 1 species
GGCCUGGUUGUUCAGUUGGUUAGCGCGCCGUGCUAAUAGCACGAAGGUGAUGAGUUCAAUCCUCAUGUAGGCCA